CCUGGCGGCACUAGCGCGGUGGUCCCACCUGACCCCAUGCCGAACUCAGAAGUGAAACGCCGUAGCGCCGAUGGUAGUGUGGGGUCUCCCCAUGCGAGAGUAGGACACUGCCAGGC
rnacentral:rRNA from 1 species